rnacentral:lncRNA from 1 species
GAUGGAAUUGUUCGUGGGCGGAAAAGAACAUUAUAAGAAAUUAACAAAAAAAACAGUUCUUAAAUGGCAAUAAAAGUUAUUACGCAUUGUGGCUUACAUAUAUAUAUAUAUAUAUAUAUAUACAUACACAUAUACAUCAACCUUUGAAAUCCAUAAGCUAUUUAAUAGUAACCAAUUUGAUCCACUCAUGCUUGCUAUGUAAUAUAAAGAUUAAGGUACGAGAUGAGUUUUAGAAAACCCUAAUGAGGGUGAUCAAAAUCCAUCUUCCGCUAUUCAUUGCAACGCCCUCGAAAGUCCACUGGAUGGAAUAAUAAUACAUUUUUACCCUAAUUUAUUGACUUCAUACAAAUGUCCUGGAUCCAAGGGAAUAAGGUUUUAUAUUUAAGGAAUUUCUAAAAAUAUCAAUAUCAUUAGCGAAUGUCAUCGACAAUGGUAAAAUUACGAUGGAUUAUUUCUUAAUAGGAAUGUGACUUAUCUGAGAAGUUAUGAUCCUUGUUCAUUGGACAUGGCCAGAAAGAGAAAACGAGACAACCCAUCAAAUGGGUUUUGUUUUUUUUGUUUUUUUUUUUCGGUGUGUGUGUGUGGAGAGGGAGUGAGAUCAUCACAGCACCGGCGAGUAGCGUGGUACUCCCCACCGCUGAUCCUCAUCACGCAGCGUUCUGCGACAACAUCGGCACAAGACGCGUCCCAUCCAAUGCUGUAAGGUGGGUUUCCGGAAUAAGCAUCCCUGGGAGGAUUCUAAUUUGGGGGGCACGGCUUUGUUGUCACUUUCCCCUGUUAGGUACCGUAACCACAAAACCACUACCACCCACAACGAAGCAGUUGCAGCAGCAGUGGAGAGAUACCAAUUAGGUCAUGCGGGUCCUGAUCUCGCGCUGCGAUGGCCGCCAGAGAGAGGGUCUUAGAAGCAAGUUGCUAAAGUGGUGCCCCCGAAGUCUUCUCCUCUUUAAACUAGCUCCUCCUGGCUAUGUCAGAGUUGGGUGGAUUUACAACUGCGGCUUGGAUCUCCCCCCAUCCACAGGAGGCUAAUCUCGGGGGAAGCUGGACCAGAUUCGUCUCCGCGCUCAAGGAAUUGGUUUGGCCUCGAUUUGGCCAUGCGCUUCGGAACAAGCCGCAAGCACAGUUCUGCUGUUGCAGUUCAGGAGCCCAUUCACGCGCUUGCUUCCGAUAUCUCCAGCUCAUAUUAUUAUUCCUCUCCUCCCUUCUUCUUCUUCUGCUCCUUUGCGAAGAUGGGCUUCCCCGAGCUUACAUCGCGUGAUAAAACGCCUUGCUGUUCUCCGCAUUUAUCCAGCGCGAAACCCUAAAAUAACGUCCUUUACUCGGUUACUUUCUUUCCAAAUUUAAUCUCCUGUUUUGACAUGGGAAAGAUCCAUGUUCCAAAUCAAGGAGCUAUAAUACCAGAUUAUAACUAUGUAGCAUAUUGACAAGCAAACUAAUUUGCAUGUUUCGUGCCUUGUUCCCUCUCUCUGCAGUUCUAAAAUAAAUUUUGGAUUAUUGCAAAAUCGUGGAAAGAAUCUUAGAUGUGGUGAGUUUGAAAAAUUGCUUGUUUUGAAGUGAAUAAGA